UACGAAGGGGGCUAGCGUUGCUCGGAAUCACUGGGCGUAAAGCGCACGUAGGCGGAUUGUUAAGUCAGGGGUGAAAUCCUGGAGUUCAACUCCAGAACUGCCUUUGAUACUGGCGAUCUUGAGUCCGGGAGAGGUGAGUGGAACUGCGAGUGUAGAGGUGAAAUUCGUAGAUAUUCGCAAGAACACCGGUGGCGAAGGCGGCUCUCUGGACCGGUACUGACACUGAGGAGCGAAAGCGUGGGUAGCAAACAGG
rnacentral:rRNA from 1 species